rnacentral:tRNA from 1 species
UAAGUCUUAAGUUAUACAAACUAAGGGCCUUCAAAGCCCUAUAAGAGAAGAUCAGACUU